AUGAUUAUAUUGUAUAAAUCCUGACAAACAAGUAAUACAUUUUUAAACUAUAUAGUAAAACAAAGGUUAAACGUUUUAAAUCAAUACAUUUAGUUGUUCCAAAUGCCCCUAUGCAGGCUGAUUAUCUUAAUAUUUGUAAGCAUAAAUAAUAGAAAAACAUUGAUCCUGUUGCAUAUUAAAAUAUCAGAUGCAAAACCCUCUAAGAAAUCCUCAGUCAACCUACGUUACUCAAAUAAUUUUGCUUCAAACCCCACUAAAUAACACACUCUGGCUCUGAAAAUACAUGGAGGAUUCAGAUAAAAUUACUCGUUUAAGAAAAUUGUUCCAAUUAACAACAACAGCACCGACCACACUUACCUAAAAACAGCCGUUGAAGAAGAGACGAGAAGAAUCCUGGGCGGGAAUAUAGUUUUCGAAUCCAAAGUAUCCCGUGAACCUGACUCAAAUCAACCAAUCAGAUGACGCGAGAAGCUGUCGUGAUCAUGUAAAUCGCGCCAAAACAAUUAACCAGCCAAUGGAUGAACUGAUCCAGAUGCAAACUGGUUGAAAACUUGGUGGGAGGAGUCGGAGUUCUGCGCACGCGCAGAGACUGCACAUUUGAUUUAAUUGCCAACUGCCACCGAUUCGUCUGAGGUUGUGUCUGAACAUCCCCUUUAUCAGAGUGUUCUGGUGCACUUGCUUUGCAUGCCGUGCUUGUCCUGUACCACUGUAGGUCUUUUUUUUCUGUGAGACCCAGCUGAAGAUAUCAAGAGCUCAGAUGUUGGCCUACAGUUCAUUACACUGACUUCUUUGAUGUUCCCUGAAAGACUGACUACUACCAUUUCAUUAAGCUAAACCGUGAACCUGUGACAGUUUGUGGAGUUUGAAUUUAAAGUCACACAUGUCUAUCAAUAAAUUGAAUGUUUUGUCAUGA